rnacentral:rRNA from 1 species
AUUGAACGCUGGCGGCAUGCCUAACACAUGCAAGUCGAACGGGGGCAGCAAUGCCUAGUGGCGGACGGGUGAGGAAUACGUAGGAAUCUGCCCUUAAGUGGGGGAUAACCAGGGGAAACCCUGACUAAUACCGCAUGAUCUCUUCGGAGCAAAGAGGGGGACCGCAAGGCCGCUCGCUUCUGGAUGAGCCCACGUCUGAUUAGCUAGUUGGUAGGGUAAAGGCCUACCAAGGCGACGAUCAGUAACUGGUCUGAGAGGAUGAUCAGUCACACCGGAACUGAGACACGGUCCGGACUCCUACGGGAGGCAGCAGUGGGGAAUAUUGGACAAUGGGCGCAAGCCUGAUCCAGCAAUGCCGCGUGUGUGAAGAAGGCCUUCGGGUUGUAAAGCACUUUAGCCUGGAAAGAAAAAACUUUGGUUAACACCCAAAGUCUUGACGGUACCAGGAGAAUAAGCACCGGCUAACUCUGUGCCAGCAGCCGCAGUAACAC